rnacentral:rRNA from 1 species
UUAAAUUAGAGUUUGAUCCUAGCUCAGGAUGAAUGCUGGCGGCGUGGAUGAGGCAUGCAAGUCGAAUGAAUUUAGAUUCAUGGCAGACGAGGUAGGAACACGUAGGUACGUACCCUAAAGUCAGGGAUAACCCGGUGAAAAUCGGAAUAAUACUUGAUGGUCCCUUCGGGGUAAAGAUUUAUCGCUUUAGGAACGGCCUGCGGUCUAUCAGCUUGUUGGUAAGGUAACGGCUUACCAAGGCUACGACGGAUAGGGGAGGUGAGAGCCUGGCCCCCACCGAUGGAACUGCGACACGGUCCAUACUCCUACGGGAGGCUGCAGUCGAGAAUCUUCCGCAAUGGGCGAAAGCCUGACGGAGCGACGCCGCGUGGAGGAAGAAGGCCUUCGGGUUGUAAACUCCUGUCAGGGUUUAAGAAUGCGGGCGGGUUAACAGCCACGUUCGUUGACGAAGGACCC